AGGAUAAACGCUGGCGGCGUGCCUAACACAUGCAAGUCGAACGCCCUUUUGCUCGCAAGAGCCAGAGGGAGUGGCGGACGGGUGAGUAACACAUGGGUAACCUACCCCCCAGUGAGGAAUACCGGCGAGAAAUCGCCGACAAGACCGCAUAGGCUCGGUCCGGUGAAGCGGAGCGAGCAAAGUCUCGCAAGAGACGCUGAGGGAUGGGCCUGUGGCCGAUUAGCUAGUUGGUAAGGUAAAGGCUUACCAAGGCGACGAUCGGUAGCUGGUCUGAGAGGACGAACAGCCACACUGGGAUUGAGAACGGCCCAGACUCCUACGGGGGCAGCAGUGAGGAAUUUUCCGCAAUGGACGCAAGUCUGACGGAGCAACGCCGCGUGCAGGAGGACGCUUUUCGGAGUGUAAACUGCUUUUCUGUGGGACGAGCGAGGACGGUACCACAGGAAGAAGCCCCGGCUAACUACGUGCCAGCAGCCGCGGUAA
rnacentral:rRNA from 1 species